rnacentral:tRNA from 1 species
GCUUGAUCUUGUGGGUAAAUUACGCGGACUCAAAAUCCUCCGCCGCAAGGCUUGUCGGUUCGAGUCCGACCUCGGGCACCA